UGUUCGCUUUGUGAAGUAUGGAAGGUGAUUUGUAACCACUUGGGCCUUUCUGUGCUGAAGAAAAGAAGGAAGGAGAGAGGGAGACAGGGAGGGAGAGAAGGAGGAAAUGAAUUUCAAUGCAUUAAUCCCAGUUUCCAGCUACUUUAAGAACUCAACAAAUUGAGAAAGCACUUUUUCUUUUCUUUUCUUCCCAGGGACUUGAAAAGGGAAACAAGGAGCAAUUAUAAGGUAUUCCUAUCUCAUGAGCCUGUUGGAUUCUCAGGGAAAUGAAUUUACAGAAGGCUGUAGGCCAUCCCUGCAGAAGAGGUGAAAGGUCCUGACUCCUGAGAAGAACCCCACCUCCCUCUCCUGCAUUAGAGGCAGAGCUCCUGUCUAGCGUCCUGGUCUUUCCUGGACCGUUCGAGGACAGCCAGCAUGGUUUCCCGGACUGGAGAAGUCUGACUAGCAAUUUUUCCCAGGCUUUGACUGGGGAAUCCAGACAUUGAGGUUUCUCUGAGUCCCUGCUGUCAUCAUCUUCAUCGCUGAUUUGAGAGAGGGUAAGUACCGCUUCUUUCUGAACUUAUUUUUCCAAGGCUUGCAUUGGCAUCACUCAAGCUCUUAAUAGUUGUUUCAAAGGAUUUAAAAAUUACCAAAAUAAUUCAGACAUGUUCUAGUUUCUACUUAUGUGUAUAUAUAUCCAAGAGGACUUAAAGGAAAGUGACCACAUCAUACGGUAGAGU
rnacentral:lncRNA from 1 species